CAGGAAAAGAAAUACAAAUACUGCCUGAUCUCACUUAUAUGUGAAAUCUAAAGAAGUUGAGCUCAGAAGUAAAGAACAGAAUGUUGGUUUCCAAGGUUGGGGCAAGGGAGAGUUGGGGAAACAUUUCUCAAAGGACACAACAUUUCAGUUAGAUAGAAAGAGUAAAUUUAAGAGAUCUAUUAUAAACUGGCCAUGGUGGUGCAUGCCUAUAAUCUCAGCACUCAGGAGUCUGAGGCAGGAGGAUCAGCGUGAGUUCGAGGCCAGCCUGGGCUACAUAGGAUCGAACUCGGGACCUUGUGCCUGCAAGGCAGGCGGUGGAACCACUGAGCUAAAUCCCCAGCCCUCAUAAGUGGGCUUUUAAGAAGUGAUUGGAUAAUGGUGGCAUGAUACUCGUCAGUGGAUUAGUCUACUGUGAUUUCUAAAACCAUGGAAUUCCAUGGAAUCAUCUUGGGAGAGAGUGUUGCCUGAGAAAAAAAGAGAGCCAAUGAUUAUGUCCUGGAAAGAUCUCAGCUUUUAGGGGUUAAGCAGAAGAGGAGGAGUAGGUAAAGGAGGCUGAGCAAUGAACACUGGAG
rnacentral:lncRNA from 1 species